GCAUGAUCGCACUUGCAAGUUCAUCUGCGCGCUGUUCUUUGACGACCCUCCAUACUUGGCACACAGCCUUAUUUGAAAUAUCAGCAACGAAGACUGUGUCAUCGAAUGAUGUGGCGUGCACUGCCUGCCGAAACCCAGUGGUCGAACGUGACGGAAGCCCCCUGCUCUCGCACGCAUUCUAGCCACCAUGAGACAGGCAUGGAACAUCGGUAUUUCAACACGAGAAACAAUAGCGGGCGAGUUUCUUUAGAAAAAAUGAAUAUGUUUUAACAAAAUUCAUGUACGAGGCGAGGAAGAACAGCAGAAGAAAAGCACACGAACGCGUUGGGUCUUUCAGUAAAAGGUUGUUGAAAACAUUGGAUGGUUCUAUCACAUAUCAAUAUAAUUCAACUUGUCUACUAAAAUGUCCCUGCUCAGAACCUUUCAGUUGUCUGCAUACAUUUUCUGCCUUUAACCGGGUUCGUUUCAUUCCCUGCACUGCCUUGAUGCUGUCAACCAAAAAUUUCCCAUGCUUAAUUCAACCAUAAGCGCUCAAGAUGAGGUUAAUAGUUAGUGUGCAAGAAGCGCGUGCCUAAGAAAACCAUGCCGACACGCGGUACCAGCUAGGCAGCGUGCGUACUGAAGUAUAAACGCGCGGCGAGGGAGCUGGGGAUGCGGUACGCGCUACGCGACCGGCGUAACUGCUUUGAAAUAAACAACCUACAUGUCGGCGAACCAUUCUGCAUUGCACUUAGGAUGUUUUAAAAACUUGUAGCAACUGAUUCCACUGCCAACUUUCUUUGGGCAUUAUAAGCUGUGCCGAAGAUUGGCAUUACAACGACCGCAAAUUUAAGUUACAGCAGACACGAAACGCGCCAAACGUUCAGUGAAAUGAACAGGAUGCCGCUACACUCACAUACAAGCGAGCGCCGUCCGCUCCGUUGUCUUUUUUAGGAGACAUAGACAGAUGAAAAGAGCGUUAAAUGUGUGAAGCCGCCAACUGAGAAAUGAAAUCUUUACCACUGUCCAAACACGAAAUGCUUCCACCAUCACACCAAUAACAUCACUGGCACCUCUGACAUUUAUUUCUGUAAUUCAUUGCUUGUUUUCAUUUUUUUUUUCAUUUUUGCUUGUGCCUCUAAGUGCCUUUUUCUAACAUGGCGGCAGCGAGCAGGCAUCAGCCACACCGGAGCGCGGCCAUCCACGGUGCUAUCAUCUCUCCUCCUCGGCCCAAUCGAGAUAGCUCGAGUUGCACGCUGGGAAGAUUUUAAGCGGGAGCGGGAGGCUCGGAGCCGGCGGGAGUGGUUAGCGCGCUGUCGUCCUGUCGUUGUUGUCGUUCUGAGACGGCCAUUAUAUUUGACUUGUUUGGAUACCAUCCGAUCACCAUUGUGUGCUGCCACCACUUGUAGCCUGCAGUAGUUAUUACCGCUUCUACUGGGAACUUGCGCCAUCCGCUGCACCCUCAUGCCUUUGUGCAGCAGAGACCUUUUCGGUGUGUUGCGCGGUCGCUGCAACGAGCCGGGUUGUGAGUGCAAGCGAUACACCAUUCUGCGCCUGUCGGAAAGUGACAACCUGGUGAGGUGUGACUAUUGUGACCACGUCCCAAAUGCACACGGAAAAAUAUGUGAUCUCGAAACGAAAAAUGCAGCCGAGGCAAAGGUGCAAUGCAAUGUGCCAGGCACCGUUGUUCGAGGCCUCAGUGUCACAUGAAACUGUGGAAGCUUGCACAUCUAGUCUCCUCAGUGCAAUAUGAGAGGACUGUCCCAGUUGGUGCCUCCAUAGAAAAUGAAUCGGCCUGAAUGCCUGUGCAAGAAUCACAACCUGGCUGCUCUAAAGACUCCGCACCGUAGUCCCAUGUGCAAGAGCCCCCACUUGACAGCCCAGUGGUUGCCAUGGACAAAGAGAUCCGCGAUACUGAAUGCGGCCAAGCAGUACAAGUUUUUACAUGGACAGUUAACACGAAGUUAUUGACGACAUGCAUGGCUGAAACACGGUGAUAUGAUUUUAAAAAUUCCUGUGUUAUGAUGCAAGUGAUAGUAUUCUGUUGAAUUUUCAGAUCUAGUCAUGUGCCAGCAAGGCCUGCUGUACUUCUGGUGUAUUCUAUGUUGUAUUUUCAAAUAAAGAUGUUGCAUUCUGAAGUUAACCUUA